CCAGAUUGUUCUACUCCUGAUGUCAGGAGGAAGCUGAUUUACCUUUGGAAUGAGAUAACCUCUGGGAUCCCUGAACAGUUAAAGGGCAGACGGAAAUAAGGCUUGAUGGACAAGGAACAUAUGCCAGUGCACAUCUAUUAUAAGCCAUUUAUCCCAGACUGUGAUGCAAGUGUGCUUAAGUCUGAAAUGCAAGUGACUCGUACUUACAGGCAAAAUACAUUCCAGCUGAGGAAAAAAGGAUUUUUGUUGCUGAUUUAAUGGAGUGACAGCCUUUCAGAAGUCUUUAAAUUCACCAUUUUCACUGAUGUCACCCUGUUACCAGAAAGGAGUCCUAAUUCUGACCCCAAGAGAAGGUCCUUAAAUCUCGUGCAAGAAAGAUUUCAGGAUUCAAAGAAUUAGCUGGACUAUGUCUCCAGGUGGAUGACUCUAUGGAAACUUUGAGCUGUAUGGAACAACCUCCUGAUCAUCCAUUUACCUUGCUUUGGUACAUUAGGACUUUAAUAGAAACUGCCUAAUGUGCAGGUAAAAAACUAUCAGGACUCAAAACAAGGCCUGUCCAAUCCCUGAUGGUAUGCUUUCUUCUGUAACCUGAGAUGUUUUCCAUUUAUUAUUACUAUUAAAUAGAAUUAUCAUGGGAAGCAUUGAUUUCAAGUGUGGGUUUGGUAUAUUUUGAAUGCUCAAUGAAUGUUAAAUGUCAUUUUUGGUGCUUUUAUAUUGUGUUCUCAUAAAAUGAGAAUUUUCUAGAAAAAGAGAAAUAACCAAUGAAAAGACAGCAGGAUCACCACAACUAGUUGGUUUCUACCUACCUCCUGUGUUUCUUUUUUAUAUUAUUA
rnacentral:lncRNA from 10 species